GAUUUCUGGCGAACCGUUGCGGCCCGUGCCCUUCGCCGUGUCGUGUUUGUCAUCCUUCCAGAGAGCUGCGUCUACCAUUCAUUUGGCCGGACGACGCGAUCUGGAUCGAUUACUUUGAAAAAAUUAGAGUGUUUAAAGCAGGCUUAUGCCUUGAAUACAUUAGCAUGGAAUAAUAAUUUAGGACUUCGGUUCUAUUUUGUUGGUUUCUGGGGGUGCUAGUAUUCCGCGGCCAGAGGUGAAAUUCUUGGAUUCGCGGAAGACUAACUACUGCGAAAGCAUU
rnacentral:rRNA from 1 species